rnacentral:rRNA from 1 species
CUACGGGUCGCUGCAGUAAGGAAUAUUGCGCAAUGGAGGCAACUCUGACGCAGCCAUGCCGCGUGCAGGAAGAAGGCCUUAUGGGUCGUAAACUGCUUUUAUUUAGGAAUAAACCCCCGAACGUGUUCGGGGCUGAAGGUACUAAACGAAUAAGCACCGGCUAACUCCGGCCAGCAGCCGCGGUAAUACGGAGGGUGCAAGCGUUAUCCGGAUUUAUUGGGUUUAAAGGGUGCGCAGGCGGGCUAUUAAGUCAGUGGUGAAAUCCCGGGGCUCAACUCCGGAACUGCCAUUGAUACUGAUAGUCUUGAGUUUGGUUGAAGUGGGCGGAAUGUAGCAUGUAGCGGCGAAAUGCAUAGAUAUGCUACAGAACACCAAUCGCGAAGGCAGCUCACUAAGCCAAAACUGACGCUCAUGCACGAAAGCGUGGGGAUCAAACAGGAUUAGAUACCCGGGUAGUC